rnacentral:misc_RNA from 1 species
AACGCACCUUGCGCUCCUUGGUAUUCCGAGGAGCAUGCCUGUUUGAGUGUCUUGAAGUCAUCAACCCCUCCGGUUUUGCGAUCGGAGACGGUUGGAUUCUGGGGGCGUGCUGCCGAAAGGCUGCUCCCCUCAAAUGUGUCGGUCGGGCCUGCGGGUCGGACUCGGUUGUGCGUUGUACCAUCCUCGCUCUGGCCGAGAAGUUCCCCUGUUCGUGCCCCUCCAAGACUCGCCUGUAGAGCGGCAGUCAAAACACUUUGAAAUCUGACCUCAAAUCAGGUAGGACUACCCGCUGAACUUAA